GCACAAGCAGCGGAGCGUGUGGUUUUAAUUCGUUGCUACACGAAGAACCUUACCUGGGUUUGACAUAUAAGUUGUAGGGAACUGAAAGGGACGACCCUUCAGGGAGCUUAUACAGGUGUUGCAUGGCUGUCGUCAGCUCGUGUCGUGAGAUGUUCGGUUAAGUCCGCUAACGAGCGCAACCCUCGCCGUAUGUUACAAGUGUCAUACGGGACUGCCGGUAAAAAGCCGGAGGAAGGUGAGGAUGAUGUCAAGUCAGCAUGACCUUUAUAUCCAGGGCUACACACACGCUACAAUGGUCUGUACAAUAGGUUGCGAAACCGCGAGGUGGAGCCAAUCCUCAAAGUCUGUCUCAGUUCAGAUUGUAGGCUGCAACUCGCCUGCAUGAAGUUGGAGUUGCUAGUAAACGCAGGUCAGCUAUACUGCGUUGAAUACGUUCCCGGGGUUU
rnacentral:rRNA from 1 species